GAAAAAGCAGUGUCCACACCAGUGUGUUUGCCAUGCAUCUGUGGGCAAAAGAGAAAAGAAAGAACAACAUCAUGUCCGCUUGUAUUCGCAUGAAGGAACUCUGGAAGGAUCCAGGAGAAACUGAUGAUACAGGAGUGAAGAAAGAGGUUCUGGAAAACCGAGUUUGGUGACUCCACCUGCCAGCCCGCUGACGGAGAUGACACAGGUGCCUGAGAUGGAGUCUGAAUAAGCCACUUCCUGAAAGAUGGGAUCCGAGGCACGGAGAAAAUACAUAAGAGCCAGUAAACCACCUCAAGCCACCUGAGCCCAGAGUCUGUCUUAACCACUGCCUUCAACUGCCCCUCCAGAGAGAAGACUCAGAGCAAAAAGAAGUUAAGUAACUUGCCCUAAAUCACCAGCAAGGAAGAAGCAAAGUAUUGAUUCAAAUCCAGGUUUUGCUGCAAGUUUCUGAGACCAGGACACAGUGUUUCUCCGCCUUCCCAUGGCUGAGUUGUCAGAAACUUGUCAAAAAUGCAUGUCCCAGUCUUCCUGAAGAAAGUGAAAGUGUUAGUUGUCCAGUCCUGUCUGACUCUUUGC